AUUGAACGCUGGCGGCAGGCCUAACACAUGCAAGUCGAACGGUAACAGGAAGCAGCUUGCUGCUUUGCUGACGAGUGGCGGACGGGUGAGUAAUGUCUGGGAAACUGCCCGAUGGAGGGGGAUAACUACUGGAAACGGUAGCUAAUACCGCAUAACGUCGCAAGACCAAAGAGGGGGACCUUAGGGCCUCUUGCCAUCGGAUGUGCCCAGAUGGGAUUAGCUAGUAGGUGGGGUAACGGCUCACCUAGGCGACGAUCCCUAGCUGGUCUGAGAGGAUGACCAGCCACACUGGAACUGAGACACGGUCCAGACUCCUAAGGGAGGCAGCAGUGGGGAAUAUUGCACAAUGGGCGCAAGCCUGAUGCAGCCAUGCCGCGUGUAUGAAGAAGGCCUUCGGGUUGUAAAGUACUUUCAGCGGGGAGGAAGGGAGUAAAGUUAAUACCUUUGCUCAUUGACGUUACCCGCAGAAGAAGCACCGGCUAACUCCGUG
rnacentral:rRNA from 1 species